GUGCACCAGUCGAGAAACCUCCGCAAUACACGAAAGUGUGACGGGGCCAUCCCGAGUGCCGUCCGCUGAGGACGGCUUUUCCCCAGUGUACACAGCUGGGGGAAUAAGGAGAGGGCAAGCCUGGUGUCAGCCGCCGCGGUAAUACCAGCUCUCCGAGUGGUGGGGACGCUUAUUGGGCCUAAAGCAUCCGUAGCCGGCUGGGCAAGUCCUCCGUUAAAUCCAACGAUUCAAUCGUUGGGCUGCGGGGGAUACUGUCCAGCUUGGGGGCGGGAGAGGCCGACGGUAUUCCCGGGGUAGGGGUGAAAUCCUAUAAUCCCGGGAGGACCACCAGUGGCGAAGGCUGUCGGCUAGAACGCGCCCGACGGUGAGGGAUGAAAAGCUGGGGGAGCGAACCGGAUUAGAUACCCCGGUAGU
rnacentral:rRNA from 1 species